GACUGAGUGCCGAUUUAGCUAAAAGUUCGGCACCUCCCGUCUAGCCUCUUCGUUUUUUCAAGGAUUCCGUUUAGUCUGUGUGAGACUGUGAUGCUCUUCUUCUCUCUUACCGUUUCACCCAGAUUGCGCCGCCGUGGGAUCCUGUGCUCCUGCUUGUCGCUGGCUCCGGCGCGGCGGCGCUCCUGCCUCCCUAUCGCCAGAUCCUCUCAUCUCUCUUAUUCUAAUCCCGUCCAUGGUCAACCUACUCCCCCUAGUUCUUCUCCCCUCCCGAUCGAGAUCCAGAUCCAGCACCGACACCCGCGGUCUCCACUGCCGCCGUCUCCCUCUCGGCGCAUAUUCCCCUGCCCCUUGCUGUCUCGGCCUCCACGGCUCUUCCCGGCCGCAGCGCUGGAUGGAGGAGGAGGGGCUGCAUCACCAUGGGAACCCGGCACGCGUCGCCAAGGAAGGGUGUGGCAUGGUUGGAAGGCACGACUUGCCUAGGUAACCCCCGCCUCCCUGGUCCAUCGCGUCAUGAGUCCCCCGUUCGGCCUACCCCCAUCCAUCGCCAGCGAUCCAUGUGAGUCCCGCGCCGCUCCGGUGCCCGCGCGCGUCGCCACACCAGCUCCCCGUCGCAACCGAGUCGCCCGUCCUGGCGGCCAGGAAGAGGGAUUCCUCUCGUCGUCCCAUUCUCCGCCACCGCUGGGAUUCCUUCGAGUCUGCCAAGUCCUCCGCCGACUCCAGCUUGUGCGAGGAGGCACACGAGCUUUGCCACGUGCGUAGACAGCUGUUGGUGCUUGCCGCCAUGUUCUGCUCGUGGUUUGUAGUAGGAGGAGGGCCUGGAGCUCCUCGUCUCCAUUGAUAUCUGACCUCGUUUGUGACGUCUAAUACUGCCGAUGCUUGGUGCUUGGUGGAAACCAUCCGAUCUGGAGAAUCAACAGAACUAAUGUUGCUGAUGCUUGGUGCUUGGUGCUAUAACCUUCUUUAUUUUUCCCUUCUGAUUUGCUUCUAUGAAUGCGUGAUGACCUUUCAUUCUUCAUGGUGCAAGAGGUUAAAUUCGUGACUCUGAACAAAUUCUUGAUUCUGUCAUUGUUUCAGUUUGUUUUCAGGUUUUCCUAAAUCAUGUAUUUUUGGUGGAUGUUAGAGGAGUUCGCACAGAAUUGUUCCAAGUUUCUUUCCCGGUUGCAAAUCCUGCUGAAAAUAACUACAGCAUGCCACGGAUUUCUUUGGUAGUAACAUAGAUUAAAUUUGCUUUUGAGCCGUUGGGAUAGAAGUGAGCUGGAGCUGGAAUGCAAGCUAAAUGGACAUGUUUACAGGACCCCAAUGUCAAUGCGAGGGUGGACAUGCUUUAUCAGACAACACAGGUGAGCAGCCACCAUUUAUGCCAAGAGGCGCCAGGUGAUUCAGAGUUUACGCAGGUGAGUUGCCUGGUGAUUCAGAGUCUACGACAGUGAGCUGCCUGGUGAUUCAGAGUCUACGCCGGUGAGCUGAUGCAUCCGGCAUAGUGUUGUAUUAUGAGCCAUUAAAUCAUAUUUUGGUUUGUCUUUUCUGUUUCGAUUGGUUUCGGCGCUGUGCUUGGCCGUCGUUAUAUAGCCAUAAUUUAUGGUGCUGUGCGUGGCCCUUGCACGCGUCCAAAAUCUAUGCCACAUGGUGGGCCUAGCACUUGUGUUUUAAAUGUUGUUUCAGUUUGAAUUUCCCGUUACGGCAAUUACG